GACGAACGCUGGCGGCGUGCUUAACACAUGCAAGUCGAACGGAAAGGCCUCUUUCGGGGGGUACUCGCGUGGCGAACGGGUGAGUAACACGUGAGUAACCUGCCCUUGACUUUGGGAUAACUUCAGGAAACUGGGGCUAAUACCGGAUAGGAGCUCCUGCUGCAUGGUGGGGGUUGGAAAGUUUCGGCGGUUGGGGAUGGACUCGCGGCUUAUCAGCUUGUUGGUGGGGUAGUGGCUUACCAAGGCCUUGACGGGUAGACGACCUGAGAGGGUGACCGGCCGCAUUGGGACUGAGGUACGGCCCAGACUCCUACGGGAGGCAGCAGGGGGGAAUAUUGCACAAGGGGUGGAAGCCUGAUGCAGCAACGCCGUGGGCGGGAUGACGGCCUUCGGGUUGUAAACCGCUUUCGCUCAUGACGAAGCUUUGUGUGACGGUAGUGGGUAAAGAAGCACCGGCUAACUACGUG
rnacentral:rRNA from 1 species